UCACAUUUAAGGUCAAACAACACUUUAUUCACAGUUACUAUCAGCACUCUAGGUCUAUGGCAAUAUUUGCUAAAAAAAAAAAAAAAAAAUCAAGAAGC